UACGAAGGGGGCUAGCGUUGCUCGGAAUUACUGGGCGUAAAGGGCGCGUAGGCGGACAGUUUAGUCAGAGGUGAAAAGCCCAGGGCUCAACCCUGGAAUUGCCUUUGAUACUGACUGUCUUGAGUACGGGAGAGGUGUGUGGAACUCCGAGUGUAGAGGUGAAAUUCGUAGAUAUUCGGAAGAACACCAGUGGCGAAGGCGACACACUGGCCCGUUACUGACGCUGAGGCGCGAAAGCGUGGGGGAGCAAACAGG
rnacentral:rRNA from 1 species